rnacentral:rRNA from 1 species
AGUGAACGCUGGCGGUAGGCCUAACACAUGCAAGUCGAACGGCAGCACAGGAGAGCUUGCUCUCUGGGUGGCGAGUGGCGGACGGGUGAGGAAUCCAUCGGAAUCUGCCCAGUCGUGGGGGAUAACGUAGGGAAACUUACGCUAAUACCGCAUACGACCUUCGGGUGAAAGAGGGGGAUCGCAAGACCUCUCGCGAUUGGAUGAGCCGAUGUCGGAUUAGCUAGUUGGCGGGGUAAUGGCCCACCAAGGCGACGAUCCGUAGCUGGUCUGAGAGGAUGAUCAGCCACACUGGAACUGAGACACGGUCCAGACUCCUACGGGAGGCAGCAGUGGGGAAUAUUGGACUAUGGGCGCAAGCCUGAUCCAGCCAUACCGCGUGGGUGAAGAAGGCCUUCGGGUUGUAAAGCCCUUUUGUUGGGAAAGAAAUCUUUCAGGCUAAUACCCUGGGAGGAUGACGGUACCCAAAGAAUAAGCACCGGCUAACUUCGUG